UGCUCACGAUGAACGCUGGCGGCGUGCUUAACACAUGCAAGUCGAACGGGGUUGGGAAACCAGCCCAGUGGCGAACGGGUGAGUAACACGUCGGUGACCUAUCCCGGAGCGGGGGACAACAGCUGGAAACGGCUGCUAAUACCCCGUAGGUUGGGUAUGAAGGUAUCCAAUGAAAGGCGCAAGCCGCUCGGGGCGGGGCCGGCGGCCUAUCAGGUAGUUGGUGAGGUAACGGCUCACCAAGCCGACGACGGGUAGGGGGCGUGAGAGCGUGACCCCCCACACGGGCACUGAGACACGGGCCCGACUCCUACGGGAGGCAGCAGUGAGGAAUAUUGGGCAAUGGGGCGCAAGCCUGACCCCAGCGACGCCCGCGUGGGCGAAGAAAGGCCUUUGGGGUCGUAAAGCCCUUUUUUGCCGGACGAGCGAGGGACGGUACGGCAGGAAUCAGUCACGGCUAACUACGUGCCAGCAGCCGCGGUAAAACGUAGGUGGCAAGCGUUAUCCGGAAUCACUGGGCGUAAAGGGCAUCUAGGCGGUCUAUCAAGUUGCGUGUGAAAGCCUCCGGCUCAACCGGGGGAGGACAUGCAAAACUGAUAGGCUGGAGGGUCGGAGAGGGACGCGGAAUUCCCGGUGUAGUGGUGAAAUGCGUAGAGAUCGGGAGGAACACCAGUGGCGAAGGCGGCGUCCUGGCCGACACCUGACGCUGAAGUGCGAAAGCGUGGGGAGCAAACGGGAUUAGAUACCCCGGUAGUCCACGCUGUAAACGAUGGUGACUAGGUGUGGGGGGCAUAACACCCCUCCGUGCCGCAGCUAACGCGAUAAGUCACCCGCCUGGGGACUACGGCCGCAAGGCUA
rnacentral:rRNA from 1 species